ensembl:lncRNA
GUCAAAUACUCACAAGCAGCGCGAGCUCAUGGCUUCCCCGCGCCACAAUGACAAACACCGCCGCGUCCAGCUGCUCAUCCUCUAAAUACUACACAACUACGACCACAACUACGACCACCGUCCAUGGCUUUAUUCCGCGAUUUUGGACAGGAUGCGUUUGAGCAAAUCUAUGUGAGUGCGUGAGCCAGGUCAGAGGUCAUGUUGCGGAGGGAAUCCGACUCCCACGGCCUCUUUACCUUCGGAGAGACGUCCGACAAUGACUGUGAGAUGGGGGUGAGCUGCAGAGAGGUAGAUGUAGCGUGUCUGUGCGAGGCCGGUCCCUGUACACUUUAUUCAGAAGCACACACGCCUACGCCGGACACGCGGCUGUGUGAACGCUGUGGAAAAAACAAAGUGAUGGUAACCAGGUACUCUGAGGGAUACGGCACAGAGGAACAAAUGUAAUCGCAUGGCAGGAUGCUGUUAAAGGACCAAACUUCAGCCAGGAGAACAACUGAGAUAAUCCAUCCACAAUACGAGGAGGAGUGUGUGUUAUCUGACCCUCAGGGGGAGAGUGACGCAGAUGCGGAUAUAGAGGAUACAGACUGCAGACUCCAGGAGCCUGGUUCUCUCCAGCGAAUCAGCUCACGGAGACGGAAACGUCCUCGAGUAGCGCGACAAGACACCACGGAGAGCGAGGAUGAUGGCGGGCGAAGCCAUAGAUCCCAUCGAUGGAAUCUGAGGCUUAGUCCUGACAGAGCACACAGCAGAACCAUACUCGAGGAGAGCAUAUCACAGGUCAGGCCACUGAUCAUUUGCAGGCCAAACGUGGAGAAGCAGAAGAGUCCUGAUGAGGUGACCCGAGGCUCCAAACUGACGUCUCUGUGGCCGUCGUCCUUCUCUCUUCCUCUUAUCCUCCUCCUGUCAUUACCUCUCUCUGUUUCUCUCAUUGUUUUUAUCGUGUCUUUCCUCCUUCCGUGGGCCAGUGCUUGACCCCCGCCAUGCCUGCUUCAGGAUAUUAGUUUCAUUCCAGAAAUGACAGAAAGUUCUACCGACUCAUAUAAUGUAGUGGAUAGCGUAAUUUCUUUAUAAACGAGUAGAAAGACUUGAAGAUAAUAAUAGAUUAGCAAUACUGAAUUUGUGUUCAAUGUUUCUUUUCCUCCUUUCUUUAAAUAUCUUGACUUUAAGCGAAGGUCGUCCCUCGAAACCAAAAAGGCACUGAGAAACUUUCAUAACGCGGCGCAUUUUGAUCGAGAAUGUGCUCACAGUGAACACAACACAAACUCAGCUCCUGCCUCUGUCUCAUAAAAUCUCACCUUCCGUCUCACUUUUCCUCACCCCCUCGUUUGUAAAAAUAGACCUCUCAUCUUGCUCCUUAUUCUAACAAGCCACUGGAGUGACACAGAGGGGGGGGGGCGAGGUUUUAUGGCUGUGCAGGUACUUUUAAAAAGGAAACUAGGAGGCUCGGUAGGAAAACCUGCGAAAGACAAUGCUGCCGAACUAUGCAAUCCCUCUGUUUGUACCGCGGCAUCUUAACUGCUGUUCGAGUACGUCUCCUAUGUCCUUGGCACUGUCGACACCUUCGUGGCCCCCCGUCCCCUUUUCUUCCUCUGAGGAGUACAGUUUGUGAAUGCAGGGACUCGAUGGUUCCAAAGUAGAGCGUGACCCAAUUUAAAAAGCAUUACCAGGAGAGAUCUGAUACAGCUCCCAUCGUGUAUGAUCUACAGCACAUCUGUUAUAACGAAUAAAUUACAUGUAUUAAUUUACGCGCCGCAGACCUCAAAAUAAAACGAGCUUUGGUGGCAGUGUGUUACAGGAGUUUGGACACUAUUUCACAGUCUUACAUUCAUAUUUAAGAAUGCUUAUGUAAAUUAUGAUUUAAGAGGACUAAGCUUGACAAUCAGUCAUGCUGUUUAUUUCAAGCUGGAAUAUCUAGAAAACGCCAUCUUUUGGCUAUGUUUGUACUGUACAUUUCAUUUUAUGUUGUUUUGUAUGUGUUUUGAAGUUAGGGUUGUUUUUUCUUCUUCCACACGUCACACUACUGAUGCUUGCUUGCCUGUAGAAAAAUGAUCAUUUUAGGUUAAUAUCAGGUUGCACUGUCUUAACUGGUUAGUUUUAGAGAUUUUUCUCUCCUAGUUUGUUGUCAUGUUGUAGUCUUACAUCUUAUUUCUAUAUGUGUUUAUCUCUGUUUCAUGGGGCCCAGAAAUUCAAUAAAACUAGAUUGUAUUUUGACAACAAAA